CAGUAGCCGCGGGAACACGUAGGUCCCGAGCGUUGUCCGGAAUUAUUGGGCGUAAAGCGCGCGCAGGCGGUUUAAUAAGUCUGAUGUGAAAGCCCACGGCUCAACCGUGGAGGGUCAUUGGAAACUGUUAAACUUGAGUGCAGGAGAGAAAAGUGGAAUUCCUAGUGUAGCGGUGAAAUGCGUAGAGAUUAGGAGGAACACCAGUGGCGAAGGCGGCUUUUUGGCCUGUAACUGACACUGAGGAGCGAAAGCGUGGGGAGCGAACAGGAUUAGAUACCCCGGGUCCCUGUCUCUUAUACAC
rnacentral:rRNA from 1 species